AAAGGUAUGUAUUUUAUAUAUUUAGAAUAUAAUGUUAGUAUACUUUUAUUUUAUAUUAUGUGUCAUUUAAUAUAUUAGGAAAGAAGUGAAAAGAAUAAAAAUGCUAGAAAGCAAAGGAUAAUGAAUCAGACCACGGGAAGGACAUCUUUUUCUCAAGUGCAACAAACAUUGGAAAAAGAAAAGGGACAUCCUCCAACACGAGUUGAAUUAUUUCAUGCUUGUUUUACUCAUGCUAAUGGAAGUCCCUCAAGUAAUAUUGUAAAAGAAAGAUUGGCUGCAAUGAAAGAACUAGAAAAUCAACUUCCUGAAGAUUACAAUGAUCAAGUGAGCCAGAAUGAUAUAUUUGC